AUUGAACGCUGGCGGCAGGCCUAACACAUGCAAGUCGAGCGAGCGGCGGACGGGUGAGUAAUGUCUGGGAAACUGCCUGAUGGGGGGGGAUAACUACUGGAAACGGUAGCUAAUACCGCAUACCAUCAGAUGUGCCCAGAUGGGAUUCGCUAGUAGGUGUGGUAACGGCUAACCUAGGCGACGAUCCCUAGCUGGUCUGAGAGGAUGACCAGCCACACUGAAACUGUGACACGGUCCAGAUACGAUGGGGAGGAAGCAGUGGGGAUUAUUGCACAGCGGGCGCAACCGUGCCGCACCCACGCCGCCUGUGCGAAGCAGGCCUGCGGGCUGUAACCCACUCUCAGCGGGGCGGCGUUACGCGGACAAGACGGACCGGAUAAGUCCGUGCCAGCAGCCGCGGUAAUAC
rnacentral:rRNA from 1 species